GACGAACGCUGGCGGCGUGCUUAACACAUGCAAGUCGAACGGAAAGGCCCCCUUGUGGGGUACUCGAGUGGCGAACGGGUGAGUAACACGUGAGUAACCUACCCUUGACUUUGGGAUAACUUCUGGAAACUGGGGCUAAUACCGGAUAGGAGCUCCUGCUGCAUGGUGGGGGUUGGAAAGUUUCGGCGGUUGGGGAUGGACUCGCGGCUUAUCAGCUUGUUGGUGGGGUAGUGGCUCACCAAGGCUUUGACGGGUAGCCGGCCUGAGAGGGUGACCGGCCACAUUGGGACUGAGAUACGGCCCAGACUCCUACGGGAGGCAGCAGUGGGGAAUAUUGCACAAUGGGCGGAAGCCUGAUGCAGCAACGCCGCGUGCGGGAUGACGGCCUUCGGGUUGUAAACCGCUUACGCCUGUGACGAAGCGUGAGUGACGGUGAUGGGUAAAGAAGCACCGGCUAACUACGUG
rnacentral:rRNA from 1 species